GAUGAAGAACGCAGCGAAAUGCGAUAAGUAAUGUGAAUUGCAGAAUUCAGUGAAUCAUCGAAUCUUUGAACGCACAUUGCGCCCGCCAGUAUUCUGGCGGGCAUGCCUGUCUGAGCGUCAUUUCAACCCUCAUGCCCCUAGGGCGUGGUGUUGGGGAUCGGCCAAAGCCCGCGAGGGACGGCCGGCCCCUAAAUCUAGUGGCGGACCCGUCGUGGCCUCCUCUGAGAAGUAGUGAUAUUCCGCAUCGGAGAGCGAUGAGCCCCUGCCGUUAAACCCCCAACUUUCCAAGGUUGACCUCAGAUCAGGUAGGAAUACCCGCUGAACUUAAGCAUAUCAAUAAGCGGAGGA
rnacentral:misc_RNA from 1 species